rnacentral:rRNA from 1 species
GAUGAACGCUGGCGGCGUGCCUAAUACAUGCAAGUCGAGCGCACGGACGAGAAGCUUGUUCCUCUGAGGUUAGCGGCGGACGGGUGAGUAACACGUGGAUAAUCUACCUAUAAGACUGGGAUAACUUCGGGAAACCGGUGCUAAUACCGGAUAAUAUUUUGAAACACAUGGUUCAAAAGUGAAAGACGCAAUUGCAGCAACUAAAAGAGAGAUCGCGGAUGAUUAAGUUAGUUGGUAAGGUAACGCUCUACCAAGGGAACGAUGCAUAGCCGACUGGGAAGGGUGAUCGCCCACAUUGGAACUGGGACAGGCCCCAGCCUCCUAGGGGAGGAGGCAGUGGGGAAUCUUCGGCAUGGGGGGAAAGCCUGACGGGGCAACGCGGGGUGGGUGAUGAAGGUCUCCGGAUCGUAAACCUCGUUUAUUGGGGAAGAACAUAUUUGUAAGUGAAUGUUCAUAAAGUGACGGUAACUAAUCAGAAAGCGACGGCUAACUACGUG